rnacentral:rRNA from 1 species
GUACACGCUGUGACUAGCAUAUCAAUAAGCGGAGGAAAAGAAACUAACAAGGAUUCCCUUAGUAACGGCGAGUGAAGCGGGAAGAGCUCAAAUUUGAAAUCUUGCAAGGUUUACCUUGACGAAUUGUAGUUUAAAGAAGUGUUUUCUGUUACGAUCGUAAUAUAAGUUCUUUGGAAUAGGACAUCAUAGAGGGUGAGAAUCCCGUAUGAUUGACCGAUUAUUGUCAGCUUUGUGAUACACUUUCAAAGAGUCGGAUUGUUUGGGAAUGCAGUCCAAAAUGGGUAGGUAAAUUUCAUCUAAGGCUAAAUAUUGGCGAGAGACCGAUAGUGAACAAGUACCGUGAGGGAAAGAUGAAAAGAACUUUGAAAAGAGAGUUAAAUAGUACGUGAAAUUGUCAAAAGGGAAGCGUUUAACACCAGUGUUGUUUUCUGAAAAUCAACCUCUGUUAGCUUUAUGCAUGUUUGUUUAGACCUAAUCAGCUAUCUUUCAUGUUCUAUUGUUUGCAGUGGUGCACUUUUCAGUUUACAGGUCAACAUCAGUUUUUUUUACCGUAAAAAAGUUAAAGAAAGGUAGCUCAUGGCUCCGGUCGUGAGUGUUAUAGUCUUUUUCCUAUGCGGUAGGAGAGACUGAGGUCUGCAGUGUAGGCUAUUUGGCUAGAUACUCAGGUGCUAUGUGAUACCAUUUCAUAAACAAUUUGUUGAUUAUGUUUUGUCUAUUGCAUACUCGCUUGUACUAUCAUACCUACGCUUAGGAUGUUGAGUAGCGACAUACGCAC